AGUGGGUAGUAACAUAAGUAUGGUGUCAUGCAAAACUUCAUUUAUUAGGUUAUAGACCCAUAUUGCAUUGGGACAUGUGAUGUUACGGUAACUAGCUAAGUUACUGAAACUAUCUCUCUCCUCAUUAACUCAUUGCCAUAUAAGCAAAUUUGCUGAGUUGGACUCGAUGUUACUACUGAAGUUACUCCCACCGUGGCUAGUCUGAGAGCACGCUAUUAUUAUUUCCCUAGGAUGGAGGUAUUAUGGCUGGUCAAAAGAUCACUGUAGUAUGGUCUUGUGAUGGAAUACUUAUUAAUUGUGUAUGUAAUUUGGAAGCCAAUAAAUGCAAUAGUCUUGUUAAGGAUAUUAAUUAAUUUCACCCGCAAAAAAAGGAUAUUGAUUAAUUUCUUAUGUAAUUUUUGGGAGACAGCAGUAAAUGCCAUAAUCUUGUUACGGAAUGCAAAAUAAUUUUUGUAUGUAAUUUUUGGGAGCCAGCAGUAAAUGCCAUAAUCUUGUUAUGGAAAACUAAUUAAUAACUUUGUAUGUAUUUUUUGGGAACCAAUAAAUGGCAUAAUGCUGUCAUGGAAAACUAAUAAAUUUCGUAGUAAUGUUUAGGAGCCAAUAACUGAUAUAAUCCUGUCACGGGAUACUAGUAAUUAAUUUUGUAUGGUAUAUUUUGGAGCGAAUAAAUCGACAUCCAGAGGAUAUUCCAUGAUGUGCCUAUUACUGGAGGAUCUUAAUUAAUUACCGCGAACCAUACAAAGGAAACACUAAUGCAGGAAGUAAUAAUAAUAAUAAUAAUAAUAAUAAUAAUAAUAAUAAUAAUAAAACGGCAAAAUAUGGUACUCCAAGGCGCCUCUAUAUCUAUAUAAACAGCAGCGGAAGGAUCCAACUAAACACCACAAGCACGACCAAAUAUACAAUAGUAGAAGGAAUCAAGGAAAUAGUAAAAAACUUCGUUAUGGCUCUAAUCAACUUAAGGUUUGUGUGCUUGAUGGCUCUUUUGCUGAUUUCGACCACUUGCUUGACGAGUCAAGUAUCAGGGAGAAACAACAUAGGUCUGCAAAACGGCAUAUGCGGCAAUCGGGAACCCUACCAAGUCAAUUGUACGCAACAAGGCUGUGUUACUGCCUGCAAAAAAGCGGGCUGCGGAGGUGGGAUUUGCCAUAAAGAUGGUAGUUGCAACUGCCUCUAGAUGAGGCUGCCAAGUCCUCUCUAAUUUGUAGUAAGAAAAUGAUCCAGAAUAAGCUUAGGAAAAUAAGAGCAUUAUGAGUUUUCUUCAGUUCCUGGAAUAAGUGAAAUAUAUGCUGAUUCUUUA